rnacentral:rRNA from 1 species
GACGAACGCUGGCGGCGUGCCUAAUACAUGCAAGUAGAACGCUGAAGAGAGGAGCUUCCUCUUCUUGGAUGAGUUGCGAACGGGUGAGUAACGCGUAGGUAACCUGCCUUGUAGCGGGGGAUAACUAUUGGAAACGAUAGCUAAUACCGCAUAACAAUGGAUGACACAUGUCAUUUAUUUGAAAGGGGCAAUUGCUCCACUACAAGAUGGACCUGCGUUGUAUUAGCUAGUAGGUGAGGUAAUGGCUCACCUAGGCGACGAUACAUAGCCGACCUGAGUGGGUGAUCGGCCACACUGGGACUGAGACACGGCCCAGACUCCUACGGGAGGCAGCAGUAGGGAAUCUUCGGCAAUGGGGGCAACCCUGACCGAGCAACGCCGCGUGAGGGAAGAAGGGUUUCGGAUCGUAAAGCUCUGUUGUAAGUCAAGAACGGGUGUGAGAGUGGAAAGUUCACACUGUGACGGUAGCUUAACAGAAAGGGACGGCUAACUACGUG